CGGGGUGUAAUUCAUCGGUAGAAUGCCCGGUUUGGGACCGGGAUGCACAGGGUUCAAUUCCCUGCACCCCGA
rnacentral:tRNA from 1 species